rnacentral:rRNA from 1 species
CGUAGGUGGCGAGCGUUAUCCGGAAUCAUUGGGCGUAAAGGGUGCGUAGGUGGCAUAAUAAGUUAUUAGUGGGAAAUCGAGGCUCAACCUCGUGGAAGCUAGUAAUACUGUUUUGCUUGAGUGCAGAAGAGGUUAACGGAACUCCAUGUGGAGCGGUAAAAUGCGUAGAUAUAUGGAAGAACAUCAAUAACGGCGAAGGCAGUUAACUAUUCUGUUACUGACAUUGAGGCACGAAAGCGUGGGGAGCAAAACGG